ACGGGAGGCAGCAGUGGGGAAUAUUGCACAAUGGGCGAAAGCCUGAUGCAGCGACGCCGCGUGAGCGAUGAAGUAUUUCGGUAUGUAAAGCUCUAUCAGCAGGGAAGAUAAUGACGGUACCUGACUAAGAAGCACCGGCUAAAUACGUGCCAGCAGCCGCGGUAAUACGUAUGGUGCAAGCGUUAUCCGGAUUUACUGGGUGUAAAGGGUGCGUAGGUGGUAUGGCAAGUCAGAAGUGAAAACUAUGGGCUCAACCCAUAGACUGCUUUUGAAACUGUCAAACUAGAGUGCAGGAGAGGAAAGAAGAAUUCCUAGUGUAGCGGUGAAAUGCGUAGAUAUUAGGAGGAAUACCAGUGGCGAAGGCGUCUUUCUGGACUGUUACUGACACUGAGGCACGAAAGCGUGGGGAGCAAACAGGAUUAGAUACCCUGGUA
rnacentral:rRNA from 2 species